UUGCACGUAGCCUCCCGGGCUCAUCUGAGUAUAAAAUAGUGAAGUUAGAAGCCCCAAAGCUCGUGCUAAACUUACCCGCCGCUAAGUGUUGCAGUUUAGCUCCUUUGUACCUUCUUAUUAUGGCUAAUCUGUGUCAAAUCAACGGCUACAUCC
rnacentral:snoRNA from 1 species